rnacentral:rRNA from 1 species
UACGUAGGGUGCAAGCGUUGUCCGGAUUUAUUGGGCGUAAAGAGCUCGUAGGCGGUUUGUCGCGUCGGAUGUGAAAACCUAUGGCUUAACCAUGGGCCUGCAUUCGAUACGGGCAGACUAGAGUUUGGUAGGGGAGACUGGAAUUCCUGGUGUAGCGGUGAAAUGCGCAGAUAUCAGGAGGAACACCGGUGGCGAAGGCGGGUCUCUGGGCCAAUACUGACGCUGAGGAGCGAAAGCGUGGGGAGCAAAC